rnacentral:lncRNA from 1 species
GCAAGCUGCAUCCGGUGAUUGCUGCUGGUUACCUGUUUCCUUUGUGAAAGUGAGCAGCAGCUUGUGCUGCUGCUGCAUCCCGUCGUGUGGACGGAAGGAACUCAGAUAAGUGGUUAUUUGCCUUCUCUUGAACUUCUCAACUUCACCUCUGGCAUUUUAUGGCUCUUGAUCUCCAUAAUGUCAUCUCUUCUAUAGAUACUCAAGUGCUGCAAGGUAAUGUGAAAAAGAGCGGAGAAAUGAAACUCCCUUAUCUAUGGAAAAGUGAGGAUUUGCUGAGAAAAACGGAAUCGGAGCGAGAGAAUAUUGUCUGGGAAUGGAAAGAGCUGCAAAGGUUUCUCCGAGAUCAAGAAGAGCUCUUGUUAAGGCAGUUGGAAGAGCUAGAGAAGGACAUCAUCGCCAGGCGAGACGAGCACCUAUCCAGAAAUGGCCGCGGCCGAGCCAGCCGGCGGCAAGGAGAAAAGAAACCUCUGUCAAAGAGUCUCAGAAGGGCGACCAAGGGCAGGAAGAAUGGGGCAUUUUCUAAAUGUCAGAGAGACUUCAUUGAGGUGGAGUGCAGGUUCAACCGCUUUUUGAGAAAGAGGAUUGAACUAAGAGAAGUUUUAUGUACAUUUAAAGAAUUGCUGAAGCUGGAAAUGGAGGAAGAGGCAGAUGAAUAUGUUUUACCAGGAGCCCAAAAAAAAUCCACAGGGUACUUUCGCUUUCUCCAAUCCUGCAGAAGGACCGGAAGGGAGCUGGCUUUGACCCAGCAGGCUCAGGACCGUUGCAUCAUCCCCAGGGUCACGUGAUCAGAAUUUGGAUGGAAUGGAAAGAUGGUUUUGUU